rfam:Fusarium poae strain 2516 chromosome FPOA_1 Chr1, whole genome shotgun sequence.
UUUUCUGAUGACAAAAGGCCAGAAGGCCUGAUCUAACCCAGCUCGUCGAAUGCCUCACCCAAUUAACGCUUAGAGGCAUAUUGAGAUAAAUUUUACUCUGAUUGC